rnacentral:lncRNA from 1 species
UGCAGGAUGUUCUGUCUGAUGCAGGAUGUUCUGUCUGAUGCAGGGUGUUCUGUCUGAUGCGGUGUUCUGUCUGAUGCAGGGUUCUGUCUGAUGCAGGGUGUCUGUCUGAUGCAGGGUGUUCGUCUGAUGCAGGGUGUUCUGUCUGAUGCAGGAUGUUCUGUCUGAUGCACUGUGUUCUGUCUGAUGCAGGAUGUUCUGUCUGAUGCAGGGUGUUCUGGCUGAUGCACUGGUUCUGUCUGAUGCACUGUGUUCUGUCUGAUGCAG